GAAAGCGUCUUUUCAAUUAGAACAGUCGCGCGGUUUCAGUUUGAUUGAACAGCAAAUCAUAUCGUCUGACGCAAGAAGUUGUUAAUACUUUUUCUUUAGUAUUGAAUUUAGGUGGAAAAAAGAAAGUCAAUUAUUGUUUAGUUUUGUAAAUUUAUUGCGCCGACAAAAUGAAUCACCAUUUCAUCUAUUGCACACUAACGAUAGCUCUUAUCACCAGUCCGUCACUUGUUGCCUCCAGAAGCAAAACGUGGCCGCCUCUGCUCGGUCGCGGGGUAGGGGGAGGGGAAGUCGGAGAGGACCAAGAUGACUCCUCGGACAUACUCUGGAACAUUCCCCCCUAUUUCAACCCAGGCGAUAUUCCACCCGAAGACUACGUUGAGUGGUGGGUUCAGCAAAAGAGACCCUCCCUCAGUUUAAGCAUGCACCCGGGCGAAUACAGAGUGAACAAAAAACUUAAAGAAGAAUUUACACCACAGCCGACGUAUUCGACUUUAUUCGAUAGGAAAGGACAUCUUAUGGGCCAUCAUACUUGGAUCAAUCACGAACAUAGUCACUAACCCCCAACCCCCCUCCCUCCCACCCGAAGAUUCAGGCAGCCGUAUCGUUUGAGAAAUAUUGAGGAAAGAAGAAAACUUGCAUCUUUUAAACUCGCGAGACGUGAAAAAUGUUUUGUUUUCCUGCCACGAAAAACGUUUACACGGCACUUGAGGCUUUGAUAUAAAAUCUACUCAGAUUAGAUGAAAAAUCAUACCACCACCAAUUUUAUUUCAAAUUUAAUGAGCUGCGUAUUUUACUCUGCAUGUCCUUUGGACAGAAGUUAAUUGAAUAUUUC